CACUCUGCGGGAGGCAGCAGUAGGGAAUCUUCCACAAUGGGUGCAAACCUGAUGGAGCAAUGCCGCGUGAGUGAAGAAGGUCUUCGGAUCGUAAAGCUCUGUUGUUAGAGAAGAACACGUGCUAGGUAACUACUAGCGCCUUGACGGUAUCUAACCAGAAAGUCCCGGCUAACUACGUGCCAGCAGCCGCGGUAAUACGUAGGUUACAAGCGUUGUCCGGAUUUAUUGGGCGUAAAGGGAGCGCAGGCGGUCUGUUUAGUCUAAUGUGAAAGCCCACGGCUUAACCGUGGAACGGCAUUGGAAACUGACAGACUUGAAUGUAGAAGAGGAAAAUGGAAUUCCAAGUGUAGCGGUGGAAUGCGUAGAUAUUUGGAGGAACACCAGUGGCGAAGGCGAUUUUCUGGUCUAACAUUGACGCUGAGGCUCGAAAGCGUGGGGAGCGAACAGGAUUAGAAACCCCGGUAGUCCCA
rnacentral:rRNA from 1 species